rnacentral:rRNA from 1 species
UGUGACCUCAAAUCAGGUAGGACUACCCGCUGAACUUAAGCAUAUCAAUAAGCGGAGGAAAAGAAACUAACAAGGAUUCCCCUAGUAACUGCGAGUGAAGCGGGAAAAGCUCAAAUUUAAAAUCUGGCGGUCUUUUGGCUGUCCGAGUUGUAAUCUAGAGAAGUGUUAUCCGCGCUGGACCGUGUACAAGUCUCCUGGAAUGGAGCAUCAUAGAGGGUGAGAAUCCCGUCUUUGACAUGGACUGCCAGGGCUUUUGUGAUGCGCUCUCAAAGAGUCGAGUUGUUUGGGAAUGCAGCUCAAAAUGGGUGGUAAAUUCCAUCUAAAGCUAAAUAUUGGCGAGAGACCGAUAGCGAACAAGUACCGUGAGGGAAAGAUGAAAAGAACUUUGGAAAGAGAGUUAAACAGUACGUGAAAUUGCUGAAAGGGAAACGCUUGAAGUCAGUCGCGUCGUCCAGGGAUCAACCUUGCUUUUGCUUGGUGCACUUUCUGGUUUGACGGGUCAGCAUCAAUUUUGAUCAUUGGAAAAAGGUCAAGGGAAUGUGGCAUCUUUGGAUGUGUUUAUAGCCCUUGGUCACAUACAAUGGUUGGGAUUGAGGAACUCAGC